ACAUAGAUUGAUAGGGCCACCAGAAUGUUUAUGUUAAUGUACAGAAACAUAAAGUGAUAGAGCCACCAGAAUGUUUAUGUUAAGAUACAGACACACAGAGUGGGCCACUGUUAAAGCAAAGUAGAGUACUACUUGGAGAAAUAACGGUGUAUCAUUAUUUAGUAAUGGUAUUCAAAUAUCAACAGUUUUUGUGCUAAAUAAAGAAGUGAUCAAAUAUUGUAUUUGGACCCCCACAGUAAUGGUCAGUCACGGUCAGUGGAGGGGUUACAGGAUCUCGUCACGGUCAGUGGAGGGGUUACAGGAUCAACUGUUGACCAUUAACAUAGCUCAUUGCAGUAGUCCUGCCAAAGGUCAAGGUCCUACAAAAAGAUGCACAACAUUUGAAAUCCAUGUACUACUUGUACUAUAGUGUGUCCCAAGUUAUUGCUUCCAUCGCUUUUUGAUGAUUUUUAAUAAAAUUACACAUACCUGUGAAAGAAAUACAGUUGAAAUUGUUAAAAGGGAAUAUAUCCAAGAUAUCUUCAUUGAACAGUUAUCCCUUUCAACUCAGAAAAAUUCACAGGAAUUUUUUAACGUUAUCAUCCGGGCUUAUUAAUGGAAGUUGCAAUGCAAAAUCUCCGUAGACUUUCAAUUUCGGGAUGUGUAUUGAAACCUGAAGCGGUAGAGGGGGCGUUUCAAAACAGAUAAUCUGGACAUUUUUUAUAUUAGUGGAUGAACGUAGUUUGAGCACAAAGGUAUUUAUUAUUAUUGAAAUAUCAAGCAAAAAGUGGUGGAAGCAUAAAAUCGGGACAGAGUAUAGUCAAUAAAAUGAGAAAUACCAUGUAUUCAUUCACAAAACACUGAAGACAAAUGAUCUGUUGUACAUGUAUUUAAUAUGAAAACUCAACCAGGUUGUCAAAAAGCAUUACCUAAUGAAUAAACUAAGCAA
rnacentral:misc_RNA from 1 species